UCGGAUGCCCUCAUUACUGAAAGUUACAGUGCGAUGUCUGACUGUUCAGCGAAAAUGAAGAAUGGUGAAAACGCAAAUCCCUCAGCAUUCACGGCUGGGAUGAUAAUGAUGUGCCAAACCUCAGCGUGCGGCUGUUAGGAGGAUCAAAUGAGACCAUCCAUUCACCUCACACCUUCAACCCUGAGUACCAAUAAAUGCGAGCACUUAGUGACAAAAAAGGGAACAGGAAGCAUCAGUAA
rnacentral:lncRNA from 1 species